AUUGAACGCUGGCGGCAUGCCUUACACAUGCAAGUCGAACGGCAGCACGGGUGCUUGCACCUGGUGGCGAGUGGCGAACGGGUGAGUAAUACAUCGGAACGUACCUUAUCGUGGGGGAUAACGCAGCGAAAGCUGUGCUAAUACCGCAUACGCCCUGAGGGGGAAAGCGGGGGAUCGAAAGACCUCGCGCGAUUAGAGCGGCCGAUGCCUGAUUAGCUUGUUGGUGGGGUAAAAGCCCCCCAAGGCGACGAACAGUAGCUGGGCUGAGAGGACGAUCAGCCACACUGGGACUGAGACACGGCCCAGACUCCUACGGGAGGCAGCAGUGGGGAAUUUUGGACAAUGGGGGCAACCCUGAUCCAGCAAUGCCGCGUGAGUGAAGAAGGCCUUCGGGUUGUAAAGCUCUUUUGUCAGGGAAGAAACACCGGCUCUAACACAGUCCGGGAAUGACGGUACCUGAAGAAUAAGCACCGGCUAACUACGUGCCAGCAGCCGCCGUAA
rnacentral:rRNA from 1 species